AGUAGGGAAUCUUCCGCAAUGGGCGAAAGCCUGACGGAGCGACGCCAUGUGAACGAUGAAGGCCUUCGGGUCGUAAAGUUCUGUCAGGGGGGACGAUGGUUAAUCUUCGGAUUGAUUGACGGUACCCUCAGAGGAAGCUCCGGCCAACUACGUGCCAGCAGCCGCGGUAAUACGUAGGGAGCAAGCGUUAUUCGGAUUUACUGGGCGUAAAGAGUGCGUAGGCGGUCAGGUAAGUCAGAGGUGAAAUCUCUGCUCUUAAGGCAGAAACUGCCUUUGAUACUGCUUGACUCGAGGACAGGAGAGGGAAGUGGAACUCUGGAAGUAGCGGUGAAAUGCGUAGAUAUUCAGGGGAACGCCGGUGGCGAAAGCGGCUUCCUAGUCUGUCCCUGACGCUGAGGCACGAAAGCUAGGGUAGCGAUCGGGAUUAGAGACCCCGGUAGUCCUAGCCGUAAACGAUGGGUACUAAGUGUGGGGGGAGCAUUCUCUCCGUGCUGAAGCUAACGUGUUAAGUACCCCGCCUGGGGAGUACGGUCGCAAGACUGAAACUCAAAAGAAUUGACGGGGGGCUGAACAAGCAGUGGAGCACGUGGUUUAAUUCGACGCAAAACGAAGAACCUUACCAGGACUUGACAUGCCAGUAGUAGCGACCUGAAAGGGAAGCGAUCCUUAUCUUCGGAUAGGGAAGCUAGCACAGGUGGUGCAUGGCUGUCGUCAGCUCGUGCCGUGAGAUGUUGGGUUAAGUCCCACAACGAGCGCAACCCUUGUGCCUAGUUGCUAACUUGUUUUACAAGUGCACUCUAGGCAGACUGCCGCAGAUAAUGCGGAGGAAGGUGGGGAUGACGUCAAAUCAUCAUGCCCCUUACGUCCCGGGCUACACACGUGCUACAAUGGUCUGUACAGAGGGUAGCGAAAGAGCGAUCUUAAGCCAAUCCCAAAAAGCAGGCCCCAGUUCGGAUUGGAGGCUGCAACUCGCCUCCAUGAAGUAGGAAUCGCUAGUAAUCGCGGAUCAGCAUGCCGCGGUGAAUACGUUCCCGGGCCUUGUACACACCGCCCGUCACACCACGAAAGUUGGCGAUACCUGAAGUUACUAGGCUAACCCGGCACUCAACUAAGCACAUUAAGCCUUAUUUUAAGCAAAUAAGUUAGUGUAUUUAGUUGAGUGCCAGGAGGCAGGUACCGAAGGUAUGGCUGGCGAUUGGGGUG
rnacentral:rRNA from 1 species